AGUGCCAGUGCCCACUGGAAUGAACUUAUUGCUUCGCUGUUUCGAUCAUCUAACAUGAUGCUACUCAGCCAGUUCUCUUCCACAUAGUUCUGCUGUUAAGUCUUGCUAUUUGCUGCCACACUCUUAACUUCGUGGAGGAAACAGUCUGUCCCUGACAGAGACUUUAUAAAAUUUUAAGACUCUGGAUGAUGGUACUCUCCUCCAAAGAAGAAUUCACCUUCUGGCAGUGAGAUACACUUCAGGCAUAUCACCUUUAUCCAGGUGAGCUCUCAACGGUGCUCUGCGAUCAGGACUUCACUUCUCCGAGUGCGGGUCGCCUUCGCGGGAGAGCUCAGCUACCAACAGCUGGGCAUCCACGGGACAGGAGCAGAGUGAUGAAUUGCCCACUUGAAGAUUCAAGGGGAAUUUUGAGGGCCUGGAGUUUUUCCAGCUUCUUGAGUCAAGAGGAGCAGAAGGAGGCAAGACCUAGACAAACAAGCCUCAUGGGACUAAGAUGACUCCAGAACGUCCUCACUCUGAGGAGGGUCACCUAACAAACCAAAGGAUGCCUAUUAACCAAUGGCUUGAGGUAGGAUCUGCAGGAAAACCUUCUAACCGCACUCACCGGGGCUU